rnacentral:snRNA from 1 species
GUCCUAGCUUUGGUAGUACAUAUACUGAAAUUGGCAUGAUACAGAGAAGAUUAGCAUGGCCCCUGCUCAAGGAUUACACACAAAUUCAAGAAGUGUACCAUAUUUUU